CAGAAUUUCACCCAUAACAGCGUUCACACCCAUCUCCCUCUGCUUUCAAGGUUUCUCCGAUUAUAGUUUGAAGGUACUCAACAUUGUUAACUACACCAGCUCUUUGGCAUGAAGGAAGACUUAAGGUAUAUUCCUUUCAUCAUCUUGACUCGACCCAUUUACCUAUAAGUCGAUUGAUUUGGGCGGCUAAGCAAUCCAUGGAUAAGCAAUUUUGCAGAACAAAUCAUUAAUCCAAACCAUCCAGUUUUGUUCAGAUGUAAGAUCAAAUACUCAUCCAUUAAUGUCAUUGUUCAACUCAGACAGAGUCAAGUUUUGUAAAGAAAGGUGCCCCGGUAAAGCGGAAUGCCUAGAUAACUUUAAAGGUGACUGGGAGUUUACUUGUGCAUCUAAAAUGGUAAUGAAGCAAAGAGCAUGUAAAAGUGGGAAGAGGAUAAACGGUGGCUACCGACUCUAAAGGUUCCCCAGAUGGUCUAUUAGACGGCACAAGGAGAUGGUUGCUAUUUAAAAAAGGAUUGUUUUACCAACUGGUCAAAGCAGUCCUAGCCAUCAACGCCCAAAUUCUUAUAAAGAUGCAUGUCCUUUCCAAAGGAGAAGCAGGGUUUAAUGAAGAAUUGCCAUUUAAGGGGAAAGAUUUCAUCACUGAAAACGUUUGUUUUGAAAAUUCGGCUCUAGAGAUGUUCUUUUCUUUUUUUAGUUACCUUAAUCUCUACAAAACUUAUUGUUGAGCUACCAAUGUAUAUAACUCUCUUCAUAUACUUGACUUCUUUUUCUCUAGGGUCAGGAUGGAGUAUUUCCAUGCUAGCUGGUGCGGGGACUGUAUGCUAACAAGGUACUACGUGAAUGCCACUGUAUUUUGAGUUGGAAGACUGUGAAUGAAAAAUGAGGAGCUGAGUGAGAAUGGAGAAGAAAUUAUUGAAGAGGGAGUAAAUCAAUAAAUUUACGUCUAUGUUUAAUUUAUUAAAUCAAUAGAUUUAUAUUGAAAAGUUUUUUCAUUACAAAGU